ncrna:unclassified sequences Transposase-2 RNA
GAAGCGCGAACCAAGCGGUCAUCGACUGGUGGCGUGAGGCUUGGAGCUGGCCUUGGUAACGAGGCCAUGCA